rnacentral:ncRNA from 1 species
GAAAAAUCAUAGAAGAGAAAAGUAUGAAUUGAUGACUUUUAACAGAGAGGCUUUGUUUGGUGGAAAAAGCUAAAGAAGUUAAUUCAGAAAAUGGCCUCUGAGAUGAUUCGUUGAGCUUAAUUGUAAAACGAAUUCGGGUACACCCGUUAUAGUGUCAGAGUAUGCAGUAUUUACUAAGUACUUGGUAAGACAGGUUUUUGUGAGAUUCCUGUGAAUAUAGAGGUGGUAACACGUUUGGUCGUCCUUUAA